rnacentral:rRNA from 1 species
UACGGGGGGAGCAAGCGUUGUUCGGAUUUACUGGGCGUAAAGGGCGCGUAGGCGGCCAGCACAAGUCAGUUGUGAAAUCUCCGAGCUUAACUCGGAAAGGUCAACUGAUACUGUGCGGCUAGAGUGCGGAAGGGGCAACUGGAAUUCUUGGUGUAGCGGUGAAAUGCGUAGAUAUCUGGAGGAACACCGGUGGCGAAGGCGGCGUCCUGGACCAACACUGACACUGAUGAGCGAAAGCCAGGGGAGCAAACGGG